UAAUGUAGUGAUCUUCAAUGCCGAGAAA
rnacentral:piRNA from 1 species